rnacentral:SRP_RNA from 1 species
GCUGGGUGUGGUGGUGCAUGCCUGUAAUCCCAGCUACUCGGGAGGCUGAGGCAGGAGAAUCGCUUGAACCCAGGAGGCAGAGGUUGCAGCGAGCCGAGCUCGAGCCACUGCACUCCAGCCUGGGCAACAGAGCGAGACUCUGUCUCAA